CUGUUCGCCCAUUAAAGCGGCACGCGAGCUGGGUUCAGACCGUCGUAAGACAGGUCGGUCUCCUAUCUACUAUGGUCGUGGAAACUUGAGAAGGACACUUUCUAGUACGAGAGGACCGAAAGUGACGAAGCUCUAGUGUACCGGCUGUCCCACCAGGGGCAUCGCCGGGUAGCUACCUUCGGUUAGGAUAAACGCUGAAAGCAUCUAAGCGUGAAGCCGUCUUCAAGAUAAGGUUUCAUAGGCUGGUCAGAGAAUAUGACCUUGAUAGGCUCUAGGUGUAAGGCGCGUAAGCGCUUCAGCCGAGGAGUACUAAUAAGCCAUCUGAUUUUCCCAC
rnacentral:rRNA from 1 species